UGUGAUUCACCCUCUGCUCCCUUUUGCGAUUUUAAUUUUUUUUCAGGUAUUUCUUAGUAAGUGCUUUCUAAUGAAUUUCAUAAGGGUUUAUGAAUGACGAUUUGACUACUUUCUUGAGGCAUGGGUUAAUCUUGUGAAAUUUUGUUGUUAGGUGAUAAUCAAGAAAUUCGGGACUUUCCACCUAUGAUUUAGUGGUGUUAGGAUCU
rnacentral:lncRNA from 1 species